rnacentral:rRNA from 1 species
CGAAUGGAUGAAGAGCUUGCUCUUAUGAAGUUAGCGGCGGACGGGUGAGUAACACGUGGGUAACCUGCCCAUAAGACUGGGAUAACUCCGGGAAACCGGGGCUAAUACCGGAUAACAUUUUGAACCGCAUGGUUCGAAAUUGAAAGGCGGCUUCGGCUGUCACUUAUGGAUGGACCCGCGUCGCAGUAGCUAGUUGGUGAGGUAACGGCUCACCAAGGCGACGAUGCGUAACCAACCUGAGAGGGUGAUCGGCCACACUGGGACUGAGACACGGCCCAGACUCCUACGGGAGGCAGCAAUAGGGAAUCUUCCGCAAUGGACGAAAGUCUGACGGAGCAACGCCGCGUGAGUGAUGAAGGCUUUCGGGUCGUAAAACUCUGUUGUUAGGGAAGAACAAGUGCUAGUUGAAUAAUCUGGCACCUUGACGGUACCUAACCAGAAAGCCACGGCUAACUACGUGCCACCAGCCGCGGUAAUACGUAUGUGGCAAGCGUUAUCCGGAAUUAUUGGGCGUAAAGCGCGCGCAGGUGGUUUCUUAAGUCUGAUGUGAAAGCCCACGGCUCAACCGUGGAGGGUCAUUGGAAACUGGGAGACUUGAGUGCAAAAGAGGAAAGUGGAAUUCCAUGUGUAGCGGUGAGAUGCAUAGAGAUAUGGAGGAACACCAGUGGCGAAUGCGACUUUCUGGUCUGUAACUGACACUGAGGCGCGAAAGCGUGGGGAGCAAACAGGAUUACAUACCCUGGUAGUCCACGCCGUAAACGAUGAGUGCUAGUGUUAUAGGGUUCCGCCCUUUAGUGCUGAAGUUCACGCAUUAAACACUCCGCCUGGGGAGUACCGCCGCAGGCUGAAACUCAAACGAAUUGACGGGGGCCCG